rnacentral:rRNA from 1 species
UACGUAGGGGGCAAGCGUUGUCCGGAUUUAUUGGGCGUAAAGAGCGUGUAGGCGGCUAGGUAGGUCCGUUGUGAAAACUCGAGGCUCAACCUCGAGACGCCGGUGGAAACCAUCUAGCUAGAGUCCGGAAGAGGAGAGUGGAAUCCCUGGUGUAGCGGUGAAAUGCGCAGAUAUCAGGAAGAACACCCGUGGCGAAGGCGGCUCUCUGGGACGUGACUGACGCUGAGACGCGAAAGCGUGGGGAGCGAACAGG